rnacentral:rRNA from 1 species
UACAGAGGUGGCAAGCGUUGUUCGGAAUUACUGGGCGUAAAGGGCGCGUAGGUGGCCAUCUAAGUCAGACGUGAAAUCCCCGGGCUCAACCUGGGAACUGCAUUUGUGACUGCAUCGCUGGAGUGCGGCAGAGGGGGAUGGAAUUCCGCGUGUAGCAGUGAAAUGCGUAGAUAUGCGGAGGAACACCGAUGGCGAAGGCAAUCCCCUGGGCCUGCACUGACGCUCAUGCACGAAAGCGUGGGGAGCAAACAGG